AGGCUUGUAGUUUAGUGGUAGAACGCGCGCUCGAUAAGCGCGAACCCAACAGUUCAAAUCUGUUCAAGCCUA
rnacentral:tRNA from 1 species